UCGACGGAGAUAACGGCGAAGAGAUUUCGGUCGAUUCCUGUUUAUCUUAGUGGCGGACGGGUGAGUAACGCGUGGGUAACCUGCCCUGUACAGGGGGAUAACACUUAGAAAUAGGUGCUAAAACCGCAUAAGCGCACAGUACCGCAUGGUACAGUGUGAAAAACUCCGGUGGUACAGGAUGGACCCGCGUCUGAUUAGCUGGUUGGAGGGGUAACGGCCCACCAAGGCGACGAUCAGUAGCCGGCCUGAGAGGGUGAACGGCCACAUUGGGACUGAGACACGGCCCAAACUCCUACGGGAGGCAGCAGUGGGGAAUAUUGCACAAUGGGGGAAACCCUGAUGCAGCGACGCCGCGUGAGUGAAGAAGUAUUUCGGUAUGUAAAGCUCUAUCAGCAGGGAAGAUAAUGACGGUACCUGAGUAAGAAGCCCCGGCUAACUACGUGCCAGCAGCCGCGGUAAUACGUAGGGGGCAAGCGUUAUCCGGAUUUACUGGGUGUAAAGGGAGCGUAGACGGCAUGGCAAGUCUGAAGUGAAAGCCCGGGGCUCAACCGCGGGACUGCUUUGGAAACUGUUAAGCUGG
rnacentral:rRNA from 1 species